UUCUAUUCAGUUUACUUUUAGAUCUCCCAGGAGUCGGUGCUCCCAGUAAAAUAUAAAAAUUUCAAUUUUAUAAAAUAAUCAUUUGGAAGUUUCUACCUAAGAAAAACUAAAUUUUGAUUGAACAACCUUUCCAACUUUUUUCUAUAGAGACUAAUUGGACUUUGAGGAUCAACAAAGCUACAGACGAACAAAGCAAAACAGCUACAUCCUUGAAGGAGGCCGCCGAAGGACCUCUUCAGGGAGAACUCAAUGUGCUAGAAACUCUUGGCCAGCCUUAUGGAAUUUGGCCAGGACGUACAUGACACCUCUACACCUACUCCUAAGAAGAUACUACGUGCCAAUGAUCUUUAAACUCUUCGUCCAGA